GAUGAACGCUGGCGGCGUGCCUAAUACAUGCAAGUCGAGCGAACGGACGAGAAGCUUGCUUCUCUGAUGUUAGCGGCGGACGGGUGAGUAACACGUGGAUAACCUACCUAUAAGACUGGGAUAACCUCGGGAAACCGGAGCUAAUACCGGAUGAUAUUUUGAACCGCAUGGUUCAAAAGUGAAAGACGGUCUUGCUGUCACUUAUAGAUGGAUCCGCGCUGCAUUAGCUAGUUGGUAAGGUAACGGCUUACCAAGGCAACGAUGCAUAGCCGACCUGAGAGGGUGAUCGGCCACACUGGAACUGAGACACGGUCCAGACUCCUACGGGAGGCAGCAGUAGGGAAUCUUCCGCAAUGGGCGAAAGCCUGACGGAGCAACGCCGCGUGAGUGAUGAAGGUCUUCGGAUCGUAAAACUCUGAUAUUAGGGAAGAACAUAUGUGUAAGUAACUGUGCACAUCUUGACGGUACCUAAUCAGAAAGCCACGGCUAACUACGUG
rnacentral:rRNA from 1 species